GUGUCAGCCGCCGCGGUAAUACGAAGGGUGCAAGCGUUAAUCGGAAUUACUGGGCGUAAAGCGUGCGCAGGCGGUUUUGUAAGACAGAUGUGAAAUCCCCGGGCUUAACCUGGGAACUGCGUUUGUGACUGCAAGGCUAGAGUACGGCAGAGGGGGGUGGAAUUCCACGUGUAGCAGUGAAAUGCGUAGAUAUGUGGAGGAACACCGAUGGCGAAGGCAGCCCCCUGGGCCUGUACUGACGCUCAUGCACGAAAGCGUGGGGAGCAAACAGGAUUAGAUACCCUGGUAGUCCACGCCCUAA
rnacentral:rRNA from 1 species